AGCAGCCGCGGUAAUUCCAGCUCCAAUAGCGUAUAUUAAAGUUGUUGCAGUUAAAAAGCUCGUAGUUGAAUUUCGGGGUUCUUCCGUUGGUCGGGCUAUCCAGUCUGUACUAGCGUGCAGAAUUCCUACCUUCUGGGGAACCAUCAUGUUAUUAAUUUAGCGUGGUGGGAAACCAGGACCUUUACCUUGAAAAAAUUAGAGUGUUCAGAGCAGGCUUACGUCUGAAUACAUUAGCAUGGAAUAAUAGAAUAGGACGGUGGUCCUGUUUUGUUGGUUUCUGAAUCACCGUAAUGAUUAAUAGGGAUAGUUGGGGGCAUUAGUAUUCAAUUGUCAGAGGUGAAAUUCUUGGAUUUAUUGAAGACUAACUUCUGCGAAAGCAUUUGCCAAGGAUGUUUUCAUUAAUCAAGAACGAAAGUUAGGGGAUCGAAGACGAUCAGAUACCGUCGUAGUCUUAACCAUAAACUAUGCCGACUAGGGAUCGGACGAUGUUAAAUUUAUUGACUCGUUCGGCGCCUUACGG
rnacentral:rRNA from 1 species